rnacentral:misc_RNA from 1 species
GAAAUAUAAUAAGUAGUAUAAAUUAUAAAAUUUAGUAAAUUAUUAAAUCUUUAAACGCAUAUUACGUUUCUUAGUAUUUUAUAGAGUAUGCCUAUUUAAGUGUUAUUUACACCCUUAAGCUCUACUUAGUAUUAGGCGUCUAUUCUACCCCCGCGCGUAGACUCGCCCUAAAUCUAUUAGUAGCGUUUUUUACCCCCUUUUACGCAGCAUAUUAUGCUUCUUAAAAACGGCUCUAAAACGUAAUUUAGUAAAAUAACCACCGUCUUUAACCUUAGAUUAGGUAGAAAUACUUACUAAACUUAAGC